GGAAAAGAAAAUUCCCCCUUCUCUCCAAUUACAUCUUUGCUCUCAUCUCCUCCCAUAUUUCAGUUUCUAGCCCAGACUGUAUAAAAGAAGAAAAUGAAGAGACGCCCCGUUGUAGAAUCCAUCUCUAAGUCCUUACUCCUGGAGGAAGACAAUUUCCUUCGGAAAGAGGCAGAGAAAGCCAGGCACCCCAAAGGAUCAAGAUGGGAAGCAAA